GGGGAAUAUUGCACACUGGGCGCAAGCCUGCUGCAGCCAUGCCGCGUGUAUGAAGAAGGCCUUCGGGUUGUAAAGUACUUUCAGCGGGGCGGAAGGUGUUGUGGUUAAUAACCGCAGCAAUUGCCGUUACCCGCAGAACACCCACCGGCUAACUCCGUGCCAGCACCGCGGUAAUACGGAGGGUGCAAGCGUUAAGCGGAAUUACUGGGCGUAAAGCGCACGCAGGCGGUCUGUCAAGUCGGAUGUGAAAUCCCCGGGCUCAACCUGGGAACUGCAUUCGAAUCUGGCAGGCUAGAGUCUUGUAGAGGAGGGUAGAAUUCCAGGUGUAUCGGUGAAAUGCGUAGAGAUCUGGAGGAAUACCGGUGGCGAAGGCGGCUUACUGGUCCAUUACUGACGCUGAGGUGCGAAAGCUUGGGGAGCAAACA
rnacentral:rRNA from 1 species